rnacentral:rRNA from 1 species
GAUGAACGCUAGCGGCAGACUUAACACAUGCAAGUCGAGGGGUAUUGGUUUUCGGACCAAGAGACCGGCGCACGGGUGCGUAACGCGUAUGCAAUCUACCUUUUGCAGAGGGAUAGCCCCAGAGAAAUUUGGAUUAAUACCUCAUAGUAUAGUACCUUGGCAUCAAGGAACUAUUAAAGUCACAACGGCAAAAGAUGAGCAUGCGUCCAUUAGCUAGUUGGUAAGGUAACGGCUUACCAAGGCUACGAUGGGUAGGGGUCCUGAGAGGGAGAUCCCCCACACUGGUACUGAGACACGGACCAGACUCCUACGGGAGGCAGCAGUGAGGAAUAUUGGACAAUGGGCGCAAGCCUGAUCCAGCCAUGCCGCGUGCAGGAUGACGGUCCUAUGGAUUGUAAACUGCUUUUAUACAGGAAGAAACACUCCGACGUGUCGGAGCUUGACGGUACUGUAAGAAUAAGGAUCGGCUAACUCCGUGCCAGCAG